ACUCCUUUCACCUGUACCACAUAAAGUCAUUGCAGAGCUACAGCCAUGUUCAUACAAAGUUAACCAGCUGUUUAUUUCGUCAUUCCCUCUUUCAUGUCCGUCUGGUGAACGAAAGUGGGCGGGGUCUCAGAGCAGGGACACUGGGGGAAGGGGAAACACGCAUCAACACGCAGGACAAAGAUCUGCGUUUCUCUGCUGCUACAGCCUCGGCUGCGUUGGGUUGUUAGUCUCCCUUUCACCUGUACCAUAUAAAAUGUAUUCCCACAAAGUUGAUCAGCUGCUUUCACAAUCAGAAUCGUUUUUAUUCCCCAGGUUUGAACAGGGCAAACAUUAUUUUUAUUUACAAAAAAAAAAUUAAAACGUUCACAUGUGAUUUGUAAAUGCUGCACUGAGCUCUUUUGCUUUGACGAGUUUUGUGUCUACAUUAAAGCGGGCAGAUGUAAUGGAAAAAUUGUGCUUUAUUGCUCUUGUGUUCAUUUCUGACUCUGUAUGCCUUUCUGUGAUUUUAUGCACUAUUUUUGAGCGAAAACAUUUUACGCUAAGCAUAUCUAGAGUUGUUUUCUACUUGAUUCACACUUUCACACAAAUUUUUAUCUUCCACUGACGCAAAAUGACAUCCACCAGACGAAACAAGAUAAAAAUGAUUGUCAUAUUGACGAUGACAGCAAUAUGCGUGGUCACUCUGACAUUCGCAUCAACCGAAGACACUCUUAUCCACCGCACACCGGAGUCACCCACAAAUCGAUCAUGCUUAGUUUGUGCCAUUAGAGACCUGAUGACCAUGACGGAACAAUUGCCCCACAUAGCGAAGACAACAUGGCAGAAUAGAAUGGCCUUAGAGAUGUUAUUAACAAAGAUGGGAAGUGGUUUGGUAAAACAUGCUGUACCUUUAUUCAGGAUGAUUGAACAUGAACUGAUUGGAAUCAAUUAUAGGCUUAUGUCCCUGUCUUACCAAAGCUCAUACACAAGGGUUAUUCUAGUAUAACUACCCACAAAAACAGCUCACAAUCUUUUGUCCCUACGCCAUUUACAUCUUUACAUCUUUAUAAGCAAUACAUUUAACGAAUCAUUUUUAAAGAAUGCUUUAUUACUACAGAAUGAAUACCACGAUUGACAAUUUUUAUUCUUUCAAUGUUUGAAUAAUAUGUAAUCAAAAGGGGGGAAUUGUAAUGGAAAAAUUGUGCUUUAAUGCUCUUGUGUUCAUUUCUGACUCUGUACAAUAACCAUGCAUUCUGUACUUGUUGAUUAGACCCAGAACUGAACAUUAUUAGACAAACAAUCUAUCUUCCUCUCAAGGUUCUGUCGCACAUUAAGUGCUGACAUCUAAUGUUGUGUUUGACUGACCGAUUGUUUAUGGCUUGUGUCUGCCUUUUACCCCUGGUCUCUGGCUCCUUUCUAUCUGAUGCCCUACCAGACCCAAGGCUGUAGACCUUGUGUAUUCCCUGUGUAAUGUAAACAUCUUCACCCACAGUGUGAUAGGAAGAUUCCACCAGGUCCCGGGAGAGAGGUUAAAAGGCAGAGACAACCUGCCUGAACGGGGUGAUCUUUGCAUUAUACCUCCGUGGUGUAUGUUCUGAUCUCCCCAGCUGGCUUUUUAAUUGCUUUCCUCAUUAUUUCAAUAAAUCGCACAAAAGGACAACUCUCUCUCA
rnacentral:lncRNA from 1 species